UUCGCCGUGGGCCCAGGAGGCACCAGAGGCCCAGGACGCCCCCUGCCCCUGGACGCCCACGAGGCCCAUGAGGCCCCGGGAGGAGAGGAACGUUCAGCUGUGACACCAAAUGCGUAUCUAGGGACCGGGUGCAGGGGGAAUUGGCGACUUAAUCUCCCACGCGAAAGGAGGAAAGCAGGAAGGCAGCGCUGGAGGGAGGGGGUGGGGCUCCUACUCUGCCGCAACUGCGUACUUGUGCUUUGCUCGGCUGCGGGCAGUCGCGCGCACGGUAUCUUGAAAGUGAUCUCCACAUGGCUCUAAACUUUGUAUGUGCUGUGCUUCCCUCGCUCAGUUUCAGUUGAACCGAUAGACCGCAUGAACCUUCGCUCGCUGCAGCCGCGCUUGCUCAAGCCAGCGUUCUGACAGUGGUCUGCAUUUAUCGAGUGUGACCUAUUCAUGUUCGCUUGUGCGCGCUGACACCAUGCUUGUUCAUUCAGGUAGUAAUCGAAUGUCUCCAAGUUUAUACUGCCGAUAAAACUACUAUUCUUACUCCGUAUAGCUCUCUACUAAUUUGCUAUCGUAAUUGCUGCUUUGCCUUUCUGGCGAAACUGCAACUUUUUCAUGCAUCCGGUGGUCUUGCGUUACUUUAGAAGUUAUCUUCUUUUUUUUCGCUGGACGCAACAAAAACUCUCCCUUCGCGUACCUUUCGCGGUUUCCUGCUUUUCGUGAUGAACGCAAUAAAAAGUCACCCCUAGCGUUACAAUCGUGAUUGCAUUACAAUCGAGGAAAUACGGUAUGUACCUGCCUGUGUACUCCCGGCCAAGGUAUUAUUUUGGUUAGUCCCGGUAUUAACUGCCUUCCAUUUCUGUGUCCGUUAACAUGACCCUUCUCGAUUAGGACUCUUCUAUGUUAUAUCAGCAGCAUAAGUUGCAUCAUGUGUUUUCCCUUACUCCAAAAUUUUCUAUAUACGAGGUCUUUUUUCAGCUCAUAUGGUACACCUUCGCUGACCCCUUCUUGCAUAGGCCUACCACCGAUCUUCCGCAUCACGUACAUGGGUGUUCUAUUCUCUCUCUGCUGCCUUCCCAGCUCUUCCACGGAUACACCAAGUUUCCUUACUACUAUAUGCGUGUUCACAUCUUGUUCUUUAUCCCUCUUACUGUAGUCACAGUUCCUAGAUCUGUUUGACCGGAUAGGUUCUCUGAGCGACUAUGAGUCAUCGACUCCUCUCGGUCCUGGUAUAUUUCCUAAGAUCAGGUCAUAGAGCGGUCCUUCUAUGCACCUGGCUGUCACAAUUCAUGUAUAGUACGGGGUUAAUAUAUAAAUAUUAGCCUCCGGGAGGUAUCUCACUGAGCUGUCCACGAACAUAACUGGUUUCACCUGCCCUGUCAUGCUUUUUGGAGGUACCAACUUCUCCUUACAAGCACCCAUGCGCACCCACUCCCUCUUCAUAUAGUAGCUUUCUUUACUUAUUCUUUACCUUCUACCACUGUCAUAUCGCGCUCUUUACUCUUGAUAAUGCCUGCACUUAGGACCUCUAAUAUUUCCUUUUCUUCAGACCUGCGAGCUUCGCGAGUUUCACUAGGGGCUAUAUUCGUUGGCACUUCUCGCGAUCUGCGUUUGCAUUCCUCAGUUUUGUGUCCGCUCUUGUUACAGCUUUCACAAUAUUUCCGUUCACGUUGUUCAUCACCUCCCGCACGUCAAUGAAAUGCCUGAUGACCGGGACGGUCACAGAGGAAACAUCUCUGCGGUCCCCUGCGCCCAUCCAUUUGGCGUUUCUCUCUCAUCUUCCUCUGAAGUGCGAGCAUCUCAAACACGCUUUCCUAAAUUUCUGAAUACCUGCGCCUCUACAAACUCGUCUGUUUGCUCUGCUAUCUCCUCUACAGUCUGUAGUUUUCUCUCUUUCAGAAAUAUUGCCAAACCAUUGCUACAUCUGGCCAGGAAUUGCUCACCCACAACUUUGUCUAGAACUCCUUUAUAUGUUUUUUUUUCGUAUUGGACAGCUCUAUCCACCUCUCAAAAUGGUUUGCCAGACAGCAUGCGAACUGCUUUCCCAUUUCAGAAUCUUCUGGCUUGUACACUCUGAACUUUCCCGAAAACCUUCUGGCGUCAACUUCAUCUUUGCAAUAAAGAUUUUUUU